rnacentral:rRNA from 1 species
GAUGAACGCUAGCGGCAGGCCUAACACAUGCAAGUCGAGGGAGAGGUUACCUUCGGGUAACCAAGACCGGCGCACGGGUGCGUAACGCGUAUACAAUCUGCCUUUCACAUAGGGAUAGCCCGAAGAAAUUUGGAUUAAUACCUAAUGGUAUAUAGGAGCGGCAUCGUUUUUAUAUUAAAGCUACGGUGGUGAAAGAUGAGUAUGCGUUCUAUUAGCUAGUUGGAGAGGUAACGGCUCCCCAAGGCGACGAUAGAUAGGGGUUCUGAGAGGGAUGUCCCCCACACUGGUACUGAGAUACGGACCAGACUCCUACGGGAGGCAGCAGUGAGGAAUAUUGGACAAUGGUCGGAAGACUGAUCCAGCCAUGCCGCGUGCAGGAUGAAGGUCCUAUGGAUUGUAAACUGCUUUUGUAAGGGAAGAAUAAGGAGUACGUGUACUUUGAUGACGGUACCUUACGAAUAAGCAUCGGCUAACUCCGUGCCAGCAGCCGCGGUAAUACGGAGGAUGCGAGCGUUAUCCGGAAUCAUUGGGUUUAAAGGGUCCGUAGGCGGGCUGAUAAGUCAGAGGUGAAAGCGCUUAGCUCAACUAAGCAACUGCCUUUGAAACUGUCAGUCUUGAAUGAUUGUGAAGUAGUUGGAAUGUGUAGUGUAGCGGUGAAAUGCUUAGAUAUUACACAGAACACCGAUAGCGAAGGCAUAUUACUAACAAUUUAUUGACGCUGAUGGACGAAAGCGUGGGGAGCGAACAGG